rnacentral:rRNA from 1 species
UACGUAGGUGGCAAGCGUUGUUCGGAAUUAUUGGGCGUAAAGGGCGCGUAGGCGGUUUGCUAAGUCAGUUGUGAAAGCCCGGGGCUCAACCCCGGAGGGUCGGCUGAUACUGGUGGACUAGAGUGCGGAAGAGGUAGCUGGAAUUCCCGGUGUAGCGGUGAAAUGCGUAGAUAUCAGGAGGAACACCUGAGGCGAAGGCGGGCUACUGGGCCGAUACUGACGCUGAUGCGCGAAAGCCAGGGGAGCAAACGGG